rnacentral:rRNA from 1 species
GUCGAACGGACUCGGAUUGAAACCUAGUGAUUUCCGAGUUAGUGGCGGACGGGUGAGUAACGCGUGGAUAACCUGCCGUAUGCAGGGGGAUAACAGUUGGAAACAGCUGCUAAUACCGCAUAAGCGCACAAUACCGCAUGGUACUGUGUGAAAAGAUUUAUCGGCAUACGAUGGAUCCGCGUCCGAUUAGCCAGUUGGUGGGGUAACGGCCCACCAAAGCGACGAUCGGUAGCCGGCCUGAGAGGGCGGACGGCCACAUUGGGACUGAGACACGGCCCAAACUCCUACGGGAGGCAGCAGUGGGGAAUAUUGCACAAUGGGGGAAACCCUGAUGCAGCGACACCGCGUGAGUGAAGAAGUAUCUCGGUAUGUAAAGCUCUAUCAGCAGGGAAGAAAAUGACGGUACCUGACUAAGAAGCCCCGGCUAACUACGUGCCAGCAGCCGCGGUAAUACGUAGGGGGCAAGCGUUAUCCGGAUUUACUGGGUGUAAAGGGAGCGUAGACGGCGCUGCAAGUCCGGAGUGAAAGCCCAUGGCUUAACCAUGGUACUGCUCUGGAAACUGUGGAGCUUGAGUGCGGGAGGGGCAGGCGGAAUUCCUAGUGUAGCGGUGAAAUGCGUAGAUAUUAGGAGGAACACCGGCGGCGAAGGCGGCCUGCUGGACCGUAACUGACGUUGAGGCUCGAAAGCGUGGGGAGCAAACAGGAUUAGAUACCCUGGUAGUCCACGCCG